rnacentral:rRNA from 1 species
UACGGGGGGAGCAAGCGUUGUUCGGAUUUACUGGGCGUAAAGGGCGCGUAGGCGGCGCGACAAGUCACUUGUGAAAUCUCUGGGCUCAACCCAGAACGGUCAAGUGAUACUGUCGUGCUAGAGUGCGGAAGGGGCAACUGGAAUUCCUGGUGUAGCGGUGGAAUGCGCAGAUAUCAGGAGGAACACCAAUAGCGAAGGCAGCUCGCUGGGACGGUACUGACGCUAAGGCGCGAAAGCGUGGGGAGCGAACAGG